rnacentral:rRNA from 1 species
GACGUAGGGCGCGAGCGUUGUCCGGAUUUAUUGGGCGUAAAGAGCUCGUAGGCGGCUCGUUGCGUCGGCUGUGAAAACCCGCAGCUCAACUGUGGGCUUGCAGCCGAUACGGGCGGGCUAGGAUUCGGUAGGGGAGACUGGAAUUCCUGGUGUAGCGGUGAAAUGCGCAGAUAUCAGGAGGAACACCGGUGGCGAAGGCGGCGACCUGGGUAGAUACUGACGCUGAGGUGCGAAAGCGUGGGGAGCAAACAGG